rnacentral:SRP_RNA from 1 species
CCAUACAAAUCGGGGAGCUAGCGGUGCCUUGUAAUCCACAAACCGCUUUAGUGGAGAUUAUGUUAAUUUUGAGGGUGAUUUUAGUAUGACGCCUUAUGCAAUGGUGUUGAGAGUUUAGUCCUAUAUUGUAGAUAUUAGGUGAACCAUGUCAGGUUGGGAACAAAGCAGCAUUAAGUCUAGAUAUCUAGGUUUAUGGGGUAGCUAAACUUGAGUCAAAGUAUAAUGAAACGAGUGGUAGAAUUUAUUCGAUUUAUUAGCGUAUGG